UACGUAGGGUGCGAGCGUUGUCCGGAAUUAUUGGGCGUAAAGAGCUUGUAGGCGGUUUGUCGCGUCUGCUGUGAAAAUCCGGGGCUCAACCCCGGACUUGCAGUGGUACGGGCAGACUAGAGUGUGGUAGGGAGACUGGAAGUUCCUGGUGUAGCGGUGAAAUGCGCAGAUAUCAGGAGGAACACCGAUGGCGAAGGCAGGUCUCUGGGCCACUACUGACGCUGAGAGACGAAGCUAGGGAGCGAAUGGG
rnacentral:rRNA from 1 species